GAUGAAGAACGUAGCGAAAUGCGAUAAGUAGUGUGAAUUGCAGAAUUCAGUGAAUCAUCGAAUCUUUGAACGCACAUUGCGCCCCUUGGUAUCCCGAGGGGCAUGCCUGUUCGAGCGUCAUUUCACCACUCAAGCCUGGCUUGGUGUUGGGCGACGUCCUCUUUGGGGACGCGCUUCGAAACGCUCGGCGGCGUGGCACCGGCUUUAAGCGUAGCAGAAUCUUUCGCUUUGGAAGUCGGGGCCCCGUCUGCCGGAAGACCUGCUCGCAAGGUUGACCUCGGAUCAGGCAGGGAUACCCGCUGAACUUAAGCAUAUCAAUAAGCGGAGGA
rnacentral:misc_RNA from 1 species